UACAGAGGAUGCAAGCGUUAUCCGGAAUGAUUGGGCGUAAAGCGUCUGUAGGUGGCUUUUUAAGUCCGCCGUCAAAUCCCAGGGCUACAACUCUGGACAGGCGGAUGGAAACUACCAAGCUGGAGUACGGGUAGGGGCAGAGGGAAUUUCCGGUGGAGCGGUGAAAUGCGUAGAGAUCGGAAAGAACACCAACGGCGAAAGCACUCUGCUGGGCCGACACUGACACUGAGAGACGAAAGCUAGGGGGAGCGAAUGGG
rnacentral:rRNA from 1 species